rnacentral:tRNA from 1 species
GGAGGGGUGGCAGAGUGGUUGAAUGCGGCGGUCUUGAAAACCGUUGAGGUGUUACAGCCUCCGUGGGUUCGAAUCCCUCCCCCUCCGCCA